rnacentral:rRNA from 1 species
UACGUAGGGCGCAAGCGUUGUCCGGAAUUAUUGGGCGUAAAGAGCUCGUAGGCGGUCUGUCGCGUCUGCUGUGAAAACUCAGGGCUUAACCCUGAGCUUGCAGUGGGUACGGGCAGACUAGAGUGCGGUAGGGGAGACUGGAAUUCCUGGUGUAGCGGUGAAAUGCGCAGAUAUCAGGAGGAACACCGGUGGCGAAGGCGGUUCUCUGGGCAUGAUCUGACGCUGAGGAGCGAAAGUGUGGGGAGCGAACAGG